rnacentral:rRNA from 1 species
UACGGAGGGUGCGAGCGUUGUCCGGAAUCACUGGGCGUAAAGGGCGCGUAGGUGGCGGGGCAAGUCAACGGUGAAAGCUCGACGCUCAACGUCGAGUCGGCCGUCGAGACUGCUUGCUCGAGCACUGUAGAGGCAGAUGGAAUUCCGGGUGUAGCGGUGGAAUGCGUAGAGAUCCGGAAGAACACCGGUGGCGAAGGCGGUCUGCUGGGCAGUUGCUGACACUGAGGCGCGACAGCGUGGGGAGCAAACAGGGAUUAAGAUACCCGUAGUAA